rnacentral:lncRNA from 1 species
CCCCGACACAGCCUCAUACGCCUCACUCUUUACACACACGGUCACUUGCCCCGCGCACUCCCGAGCCCUUUCCAGCCCUGACACACAGCUGGGAUUCUCACUUCCGAUCAGCGGUCCUGAACCCGCUCCCAGGGCACGGGAACUCCCUUCGUGGCGAAGCAGCAACCUCUGCGCUGCCUCAUCUACAUAGAAGUCGCCCUGUCCGUGAUGUCACCGACAGUGCCUUGCCCAGUCCCCGUCUGCCUUUCUGCCACUCAACCGACCAAUCUGCUGCCAGAGCCGCCAAGGGGAAGUGACGUCUGCCUCUCCCUUUUUCCCUCCCGCCCCUGCGUCUGUUCUCUCCCAAAGAAGCUGGUCCUUAGCCUGUGUUAAGGAGCAACCUUUCGGUGGCCAGAUGGAGCCGGGGCAUCCUUCUUCAAAUAAUGGCUUUUAAUUCGCAGACUAGAAUGUUUCGGAUUACAAAAGAAACCGGUUCUCUUCACAUCCUUAUCCUUGUGAUGCAGCAUUCCGCUUGCAAUUGGAAGCCGUUUAAUAUCAGAGAGAAACCAUAUUUAUGAAAGUAAAGAGGCUGCUUAGAUGACUGCAAACCAGCCGUCCUUACUGGUUUUAUCACUGGUAAUGUUAUAAAGACAGUUGUCCAGUUUCAUGAAUCUUGUAGGUUUUUUUUUUUUUGAUGUUGUUUUUUUUUUCAAAAAUCCGUAUUGUAGAAAAAUAUGCUGUCCCAGAAGAGAUGAUUGGACACUCUCAAGCGUGGUGCUGGACUUUGUCAUCUCUUGCACAGCCAUCUCCACACCUUAGUGCUUACCUCAUGUUAGUUUUUUAUAUUCUGCAAAGACGAAACCAAAAUAAUCCAAAUUUGACACAAAUACCUGGGCUACAUCUUAUUUGAGAUGUUUAACAAAUGUCUGGAUCAUCUUUUCUUAUAUAUUACGCAGGAAACACUGUGAAGUAAGCAAAGUUGGAAUGCCCAAGUGAAAGACCAUUUGAAUAUUUACAAGUAGAUUUCAGACAGGAAUACUACAGGGUGGUCACAGGAUAACAAAUUCUAGGCAGCAGAUUUACAUGACUUGAG